AAACGUUUGAACUUGAGUUCAACUUUGUCAACUGCUCAAUUUUCUAGUUCAAAUUUUAAUUAUAUAGAGAACUUUCUUUGAUAUGAUAAUAUAUAUUAGAUAAUAAAAGCUUGAUUUAAGGCGUGUUCGCUAAUGAUAGAAAAUAUUAUAAAUACUUCUCUGAUAUGGUAGAAAAGGAUCUAUACUCAGCAAUUUACGAAUUUCAUGUCAUUGUCAUAUAUGAUAAACAUUUUCCAUUUGACUUUUGCAAACGUUAUUCAUAAUCCGUUUGCCAACUGUUGCUGACAUUUGGCCAAAAUCCGCUUAGCGUUAGCCCAAGUCAACAGCAACACCCACAGAGUUGGCUGGCAGACCACACCUAAUCCCAUUAAUCCGCAGUGAAAAUAAUUAGUGUUUUGUACACACAGCGCAACGAGAGGUCUGCUCCAAGGGACUGAGAACCGCAGCGAGAAAGAUGCUGCAUAUAAAGGCUGAUACAUAUAUAUGUCCAUAGUGAAAGAUCAAGACACAGCGUGAAACUCAGACUUUAGACGGUGAAGUGAAGUGAAGUGAAGAUGCAGCAGCUUGUGAAGGGCAUGCGAAAGGCGUUAAUGCUGCGUGAAAUUAGAUUUGCACCAAAAAUGGCAACACACACACACACGCUGAAGAGAGACAGAUACGCAUCGUAUCUGAAUCUGUAUCUAAGUCGGGUGGCAAGUGUGUCUGUGUGUGUGUGUGCAAGUGUUAGUGCGCCAGCGCCUUCCACGAAGCCAAAAACCGAAAAGUUACAUUUUAACACCCCGGCCCAGCGAUAAUGUGUAGCGGUACACAGCGAUAAGGCAGCAAGGACCUAAAAAACCAGAACAAAACAAAAAGGGAAGACGGACGGACAGUCGGACAGAAGAGUGACACACACGUCGCGUUGUUAAGGGCCCAUUGCGGAGAAGACAUGGUCAAAAGCGAUUACCACACUUGCCAAUGGCCUUUUUCUUUUGGAGGCGGACAGUGAGUUGGCAAGGUGUCAUUAAAAAUUACAGCCGAAAUGUGGAAAAAAUGACAAUAAGCCGACCCAGUCGGUCCACGGCCAUAUAAAAUGAAAAGGACAAAGGCACCGAAACGAUUUGAUACGAAUCUAAUUGUGCUAAUGGCGCAGAAUUCUCAAGAAAUGCCCAACAACAAUUAGGCACUGUGCCACAGCGCUUCAAGUAGUCAAAGAAUGGGAACAAUGCGGCCAAGGAGCCGGGCGCGCCAAACUGGACACAGUCGAGCCAAGGAGCCAAACACCUAACCACAAAAGGUCCUCGCUCAAAUGCCCAUCUUUUUACAGCUUGUGGGAAAACACGCACUUUGUUCGCCGCGGCAAAUGUUAACUCGAUGCGAUCAAAUGUUGCGUGAUCGGUUAUGACAGACAGUUCGGGAACGGGAUCCUGCAGGAAUCCUACAUGUAUGCAACCAAAAGGUGCCAAAUGUCUGCUAGACUGUUCGCUUAACUAAUAUGUGCCUAAUUGAUGGCACGCAGCGUGUGGUCUUAGGUGCACAAAUAGGACAAGGACGAGGCCAGAGUGUCCUGCCGAGGGCAAUUCUUGCACAGUAUUUAAAAUCUCGCCAUGCUCGGAACAAUGGUAAAAGUGUAAAUAUAUAUUUUUAGCUGCUUGUUAAAUUUGGCGACUCAUUCAGCUAAACUUUAUAAAUUAAAGUCACAGGCGUGAGUCAGAGCUUA